GUGAUCCUCCCACCUUGGCCUCCCAAAGUUCUGAGAUUACAGAAUAUAUGCUACCUGAGAUCAAGGACUUUGUUCUGUUCACCUCCAUAUCACCAGUGCCUAGAGAAAUGUACAAAUCACUGAAGUGCUCAGACUCACCUGGGGCCCUGGGACUCCUGAAGGGCCACUCACCUGAUCCAGGAGAUGGAGCCUGGAAACAUAGGCCUUCUCAGUUUGCAGGAGCUCAUUGGCAAUGUGAAACACCUUCUGCUGCACGGUCAACUGUAAAGGAAAAGAGAGAUGAGUUCUCACUAUGUUGCCCAGGCCGGUCUUGAAC